rnacentral:rRNA from 1 species
UUGGUCAUUUAGAGGAAGUAAAAGUCGUAACAAGGUUUCCGUAGGUGAACCUGCGGAAGGAUCAUUACAGUAUUCUUUUUGCCAGCGCUUAAUUGCGCGGCGAAAAAACCUUACACACAGUGUUUUUUGUUAUUACAAGAACUUUUGCUUUGGUCUGGACUAGAAAUAGUUUGGGCCAGAGGUUUACUGAACUAAACUUCAAUAUUUAUAUUGAAUUGUUAUUUAUUUAAUUGUCAAUUUGUUGAUUAAAUUCAAAAAAUCUUCAAAACUUUCAACAACGGAUCUCUUGGUUCUCGCAUCGAUGAAGAACGCAGCGAAAUGCGAUAAGUAAUAUGAAUUGCAGAUUUUCGUGAAUCAUCGAAUCUUUGAACGCACAUUGCGCCCUCUGGUAUUCCAGAGGGCAUGCCUGUUUGAGCGUCAUUUCUCUCUCAAACCUUCGGGUUUGGUAUUGAGUGAUACUCUUAGUUGAACUAGGCGUUUGCUUGAAAUGUAUUGGCAUGAGUGGUACUGGAUAGUGCUAUAUGACUUUCAAUGUAUUAGGUUUAUCCAACUCGUUGAAUAGUUUAAUGGUAUAUUUCUCGGUAUUCUAGGCUCGGCCUUACAAUAUAACAAACAAGUUUGACCUCAAAUCAGGUAGGAUCACCCGCUGAACUUAAGCAUAUCAAUAAGCGGAGGAA